rnacentral:rRNA from 1 species
GUUGCGGUCUUGAACUGUGGCUUUCGGAGCUAACGCGUUAAGUAGACCGCCUGGGGAGUACGGUCGCAAGAUUAAAACUCAAAUGAAUUGACGGGGGCCCGCACAAGCGGUGGAGCAUGUGGUUUAAUUCGAUGCAACGCGAAGAACCUUACCUACUCUUGACAUCCAGAGAAUUCGCUAGAGAUAGCUUAGUGCCUUCGGGAACUCUGAGACAGGUGCUGCAUGGCUGUCGUCAGCUCGUGUUGUGAAAUGUUGGGUUAAGUCCCGCAACGAGCGCAACCCUUAUCCUUGUUUGCCAGC